rnacentral:rRNA from 1 species
GGUGAAAAGCACCCCGGAAGGGGAGUGAAAUAGAACCUGAAACCGUGUGCUUACAAGUAGUCAGAGCCCGUUAAUGGGUGAUGGCGUGCCUUUUGUAGAAUGAACCGGCGAGUUACGAUUUGAUGCAAGGUUAAGCAGUAAAUGUGGAGCCGUAGCGAAAGCGAGUCUGAAUAGGGCGUUUAGUAUUUGGUCGUAGACCCGAAACCAGGUGAUCUACCCUUGGUCAGGUUGAAGUUCAGGUAACACUGAAUGGAGGACCGAACCGACUUACGUUGAAAAGUGAGCGGAUGAACUGAGGGUAGCGGAGAAAUUCCAAUCGAACCUGGAGAUAGCUGGUUCUCUCCGAAAUAGCUUUAGGGCUAGCCUCAAGUGAUGAUUAUUGGAGGUAGAGCACUGUUUGGACGAGGGGCCCCUCUCGGGUUACCGAAUUCAGACAAACUCCGAAUGCCAAUUAAUUUAACUUGGGAGUCAGAACAUGGGUGAUAAGGUCCGUGUUCGAAAGGGAAACAGCCCAGACCACCAGCUAAGGUCCCAAAAUAUAUGUUAAGUGGAAAAGGAUGUGGCGUUGCCCAGACAACUAGGAUGUUGGCUUAGAAGCAGCCAUCAUUUAAAGAGUGCGUAAUAGCUCACUAGUCGAGUGACACUGCGCCGAAAAUGUACC